UGAGACCCUAUCCAUGUCCA
rnacentral:siRNA from 1 species